AACCCUAAUUAAUAAACCUCGGCGUAAAGAGUGUUUAAAAUCAAACAAAAUAAGAUUAAAUUUUACCUAAGUCGUAAAAAACAUCAGGUAAAAAUAAACUCAUUAACGAAAGUAAUCUUAACAAACAUAAAAACACCAAAGCUGAGACCCAAACUGGGAUUAGAUACCCCACUAUGCUCAGCCAUAAACACAAAUAUUUAACAACAAAAAUAUUCGCCAGAGAACUACUAGCAACAGCUUAAAACUCAAAGGACUUGGCGGUGCUUUAAACCCAUCUAGAGGAGCCUGUUCUAUAAUCGAUAAACCCCGAUAAACCUCACCACUUCUCGCUAAUU
rnacentral:rRNA from 1 species